rnacentral:rRNA from 1 species
CCUACGGGCGGCAGCAGUAGGGAAUCUUCCACAAUGGGCGAAAGCCUGAUGGAGCAACGCCGCGUGGGUGAAGAAGGUCUUCGGAUCGUAAAACCCUGUUGUUAGAGAAGAAAGUGCGUGAGAGUAACUGUUCACGUUUCGACGGUAUCUAACCAGAAAGCCACGGCUAACUACGUGCCAGCAGCCGCGGUAAUACGUAGGUGGCAAGCGUUAUCCGGAUUUAUUGGGCGUAAAGGGAACGCAGGCGGGCUUUUAAGUCUGAUGGGAAAGCCUUCGGCUUAACCGGAGUAGUGCAUUGGAAACUGGGAGACUUGAGUGCAGAAGAGGAGAGUGGAACUCCAUGUGUAGCGGUGAAAUGCGUAGAUAUAUGGAAGAACACCAGUGGCGAAAGUGGCUCUCUGGUCUGUAACUGACGCUGAGGUUCGAAAGCGUGGGUAGCAAACAGGAUUAGAUACCCUAGUAGUC